rnacentral:rRNA from 1 species
UACGGAGGAUUCGAGCGUUAUCCGGAUUUAUUGGGUUUAAAGGGUGCGUAGGCUGUUUUUUAAGUCAGUGGUGAAAGUUAUAUGCUUAACAUAUAGAGUGCCAUUGAUACUGGAAGACUUGAGUACAGAUUAAGUUGGCGGAAUGUGGCAAGUAGCGGUGAAAUGCAUAGAUAUGCCCCAGAACACCGAUAGCGAAGGCAGCUGACUAGGUUGUAACUGACGCUGAAGCACGAAGGUGUGGGUAUCGAACAGG